CUCAAAGGAAUUGACGGGGCCCGCACAAGCGGUGGAGUAUGUGGUUUAAUUCGAUGCAACGCGAAGAACCUUACCUGGUCUUGACAUCCCGGAGACCCUUAGGAAACUAGGGGGUGCUUCCAUCUGGAAGAAUCUGGAGACAGGUGCUGCAUGGCUGUCGUCAGCUCGUGUCGUGAGAUGUUGGGUUAAGUCCCGCAACGAGCGCAACCCUUGCCUUUAGUUGCCAGCAGUUCGGCUGGGCACUCUAAAGGGACUGCCGGUGUUAAACCGGAGGAAGGUGGGGAUGACGUCAAGUCCUCAUGGCCUUUAUGACCAGGGCUACACACGUACUACAAUGGCCGAUACAAAGGGCAGCGACACUGCGAGGUGAAGCCAAUCCCGUAAAAUCGGUCUCAGUCCGGAUUGGAGUCUGCAACUCGACUCCAUGAAGUUGGAAUCGCUAGUAAUCGUGGAUCAGCAUGCCACGGUGAAUACGUUCCCGGGCCUU
rnacentral:rRNA from 1 species